CCAAUAGCGUAUAUUAAAGUUGUUGCAGUUAAAAAGCUCGUAGUUGAACUUCGGGGUUUGCUCAUUGGUCAGGCUUAAUUGUCUGUACUGGUGAGAUAAAUCUCUACCUUCUGAGGAACUUUCAUGCCAUUUAUUUGGUGUGAUGGGAAAUCAGUACUGUUACUUUGAAAAAAUUAGAGUGUUUAAAGCAGACUAACGUCUGAAUACAUUAGCAUGGAAUAAUGAAAUAGGACGGACUGAUUCUAUUUCGUUGGUUUCUAGGAUCACCGUAAUGAUUAAUAGGGAUAGUUGGGGGCAUUAGUAUUCAAUUGUCAGAGGUGAAAUUCUUGGAUUUAUUGAAGACUAACUACUGCGAAAGCAUUUGCCAAGGAUGUUUUCAUUAAUCAAGAACGAAAGUUAGGGGAUCGAAGACGAUCAGAUACCGUCGUAGUCUUAACCAUAAACUAUGCCGACUAGGGAUCGGACGAAGUUAAUUUUAUAAUGACGCGUUCGGCACCUUACG
rnacentral:rRNA from 1 species